UCCCAUUCUUAGUUUAUUUUAUCAUGAUUAUAGAAUAUCAUAGUAGACUCAUAUGAUCUUGCAGCCGGAAGAGAUCUCCUGAGAAAGUCUGUUUUGAUUGAAGAGUGUUUAAUAGAUAGAAGGUGCUUCCUUUUUAGGAGCUGAAAUUUACCUUCUAACCAUUCCUUUCAGUCCAAUGAAGAUUCCCUACUGCAAGAAGGGUGUAGGAAUACCACAAAAAGGCUUAUGCAAUACAAGAUGCCUGGUGCCCUUCUAGGAAGAAUCUCUUACUGAAAUGAAAGAAACAAGACCAACCAGAUGACAUUGCCUGCUGGCGGAGGGAGGAUGCAGACUAGCAGGGAGAAAACCAUACUAGCUCUUCCAGGGUGAUGUCCAUCUCCAAAAAAUGAACAUUUCAUGUGAUGUCCCAUAACUGCUCCUUGCUCUGGUCUAUCUUCAUUUUAAUUAAAACUCAGGUACAUGGAAUAAAUAAAAAAGCUUACUAUCAUCAUCAGUCCAUUUAUGACCCUGCUUCUAUUUCAUUUAUUUUGUUUUACUUUUUGUUCCCUUUAUCCCUGCUGCCUAGUCCCAUUCCCCACCCACUCUAUUCUGAGAUAACUAUUA